rnacentral:rRNA from 1 species
GAUUGAUACUAAGCCAUGCGAGUCUUUGUAGUAAUACAAGGCAGGCGGCUCAGUAACACGUAGUCAACCUACCCUAUGGACAAGAAUAAUCUCGGGAAACUGGGCAUAAUUCUUGAUAGAUCAUAAUGCCUGGAAUGGUUUAUGGUUAAAAUGAUUCGUCGCCAUAGGAUGGGACUGCGGCCUAUCAGCUUGUUGGUGAGGUAAUGGCCCACCAAGGCGAUUACAGGUACGGGCUCUGAGAGGAGAAGCCCGGAGAUGGGUACUGAGACACGGACCCAGGCCCUAUGGGGCGCAGCAGGCGAGAAAACUUUGCAAUGUGCGAAAGCACGACAAGGUUAAUCCGAGUGAUUUCUGCUAAAGAAAUCUUUUGCCAGUCAUAAAACCACUGGUGAAUAAGGGGUGGGCAAGUUCUGGUGUCAGCCGCCGCGGUAAAACCAGCACCUCAAGUGGUCAGGAUGAUUAUUGGGCCUAAAGCAUCCGUAGCCGGCUUUGUUAGUUUUCGGUUAAAUCCAUGUGCUCAACGCAUGGGCCGCCGAAAAUACUGCAUAGCUAGGGAGUGGGAGAGGUAGACGGUACUCAGUAGGAAGGGGUAAAAUCCUUUGAUCUAUUGAUGACCACCUGUGGCGAAGGCGGUCUACCAGAACACGUUCGACGGUGAGGGAUGAAAGCUGGGGGAGCAAACCGGAUUAGAUACCCGGGUAGUCCCAGCUGUAAACGAUGCAGACUCGAUGAUGCAUUGGCAUAAUAGCCAGUGCAGUGUCGCAGGGAAGCCGUUAAGUUUGCCGCCUGGGAAGUACGUACGCAAGUAUGAAACUU